GCAUGUGAGGACCAUCAGGCAGUGACAUCUGUCACCCCAUUCAUCGCCAAGGUUGAUUCAGUUGAUCUGGCUGGCUAGGCAGGUGCCCCCUUCCUCCCUCACUAUUCCAUGAGCAUCCCUCCCAAAGCUGCACGCUUGGUUGAAGAGGACGACCAUCCCCGAUAGAGGAGGACUGGUCAUCAGUCAAGGGUAUAUGAGUAGCUGUGUUCCCCACUAGAAUCUCCAAACAAGAUUAAGAGAAGCUAAAUUCUGAAAGAACUGAUAGAGAAAUUGUAACCUAUAACUUGGUAUCAUAAAAAUUUGAGUGAUCCACUGUGUU
rnacentral:snRNA from 1 species